CAGAUCUACACAGGCGUUGCAUGGCUGUCGUCAGUCCGUGGUGCUAUACCGUUUUCGCACAAUUUUGUGCUUCUUACGGACAUCUCCCCUACCAGAAUUCCAAUAAAAUUUUUUUUGCUUCUGGAGUGUAAAGCUUUCUAUAGUUUUGCCUUAAUUUGGGUCCACGUCUAGUCAUCAUGGCCCACAUAUAUUGGGAUACACCUGUGUUACAAUGGAAUAUACAAUUUGUUGCUACGUUUUAUAAAAAUAUAAAAUCUUCGCAAAUAUAGAAAAUAUUCCAUAAUUCAGAUCAUACCCUGCAACUCGGGUAUGUGAAGCCGGAAUCAUUUGUAAUCGUGGAUUAGCCUGCCACGGUGAAAUUUAGAAGUUUCUCUAGAGUACACACCGCCCGUCACAUUGGAAAAAUUGUAUGGACUAGAAAAGGGAAGAGGCUUUUUUUAUUGUUUGGCGAAGCACUUUUGUUCUAAAGACCAAAAGGGCACUUUUUUAAAAAGACUAAACAGGAAUUUUUUUUUUGUUCGAACAAUGAAAAAAAGUUUAUUUUUUUGAAAGUUUGUACGGUGAUUGCGAUGAAGUCGUAACAAGGUUGUUCUACGGGAACGUGGAGCAGGAAUGAUUUUUU
rnacentral:rRNA from 1 species